rfam:Triticum aestivum genome assembly, contig: Triticum_aestivum_CS42_TGACv1_scaffold_221727_3B
AUUAUACUCCCUCCGUCCCAAAAUAAGUGUCUCAAUUUUAAUACAACUUUGUAUUAAAGUUAGUACAAGUUUGAGGCACUUAUUUUGGGACGGAGGGAGUACCAU